UUGCUUCUGCAGCACAUAUAUUAAAAUUGGAAUGAUACAGAGAAGACUAGCAUGGCCCCUGUGCAAGAAUGACACACAAAUUCAUGAAGCAUUCCAUAUUUAA
rnacentral:snRNA from 1 species